rnacentral:lncRNA from 1 species
AGUGGCAUCGUUAGAUUCAGCUUAUGGACAGGUGUAUCACGUACUGCACGCGCGUGCCGUAAAGGACCGAAGUCAGCCGACCCCGAUCCCCGACUCACACGGUACGCGCUUCUCCUCCUCGCUUGCCGCCGCCGCCGCCGCCGCGAUGGAAAAGGAGAAGCUCUCGUUCUCCAUAUCCUCCUCGAAGCAGCGGCCCCCCAAGCCUCCCGCACGACCUGCGGCCGCCGCAGACGACGAUGACCUCCGCUCCGCGCCCGCUCCGGGCCAGCAGUACGUCACCGAGUUCGAUCCGUCCCAAACCCUAGCCGCCGCCUGCGCGGCGCGCGCCGUCAUCGCGCCGCUCCCCAACUCCGGCAACUUCCUCACCCACCGCCCACGCAAACCGUCCUCGCUCCCCACCCCUGAGGAGGAGGCCGCCCUCGCCGCGGAAUCCGGCGGCUGGGGCCCCGCCUUCGUCCUCGACACCUCGACCGCUCCCGAAGACCCAUCAUCCAAAAUCGGCUACGGCCUCACUCGCCGCAACGGCGCCAUCGACGCUGCUGCUGCCAAGGAACCGGAGAAGGCGCCGCCACCGUCACCGUCACCGCCUCGGGCCACUGAUGCUGCCUCCGCUGCCGGCAACCUCAUGCUGCAGCGGUACAAGGAGGACAUGGAAGGCCUUCCGGAGCACCGUGGAAUGGACGAGUUCAAUGAGAUACCCGUGGAGGGAUUUGGCGCGGCUCUCCUUGCUGGAUACGGCUGGACAGAAGGUAAGGGCAUUGGUAGGAACAAUAAGAUGGGGGAUACCAAAGUUCUUGAAUACCACCGCCGUGCUGGCACACAGGGGUUAGGGUACAACCCCUCUGAAGCAGACCCUAGGAAGACUCGUUCUGGCGACUGGAUUGUUGGCAAGAAGGUGUCAGAGGGCGGGAGUGCGAAGAGAGAUCGAGGCAGUAGAGAUAGGAUGGAAGAGAGCGAUUCUAGUGCCCAGAAGAAGAGAUAUAAUGAGGAAAGGUCUGAGAAGGAGGGCCGUGAAAAGGUGAGGAAUGGCCGUGGUAGCCGAGAAGGCACAAGUAAUGCAAGCGGUACUCAUAGCAAUGUACUGUGGUUGCAGAGCCAUAUCAGGGUUCGGAUUGUUAGUCAGAAACUAAGCAAGAGGCUAUACUUGAUGAAGGGUAAGGUUGUCGAUGUGGUGGGGCCUACAAAAUGUGACAUCAUGAUGGAUGAUGGAUCAGAGUUGGUGCAGGGGGUGGAGCAAGAUAUGCUUGAAACUGUACUUCCACGGACGAAUGGGCGGGUGCUUGUGCUUUAUGGGAAGCACAAGGGUUUAUAUGGGCACCUGGUAGAGAAGAAUUCCAAAGAAGAGAUCGGAUUGGUGGAGGAUGCAGAUACAAAAGAUAUUGUACGUGUUAGAUAUGAUCAGAUGGCAGAAUACACUGGAGAUCCAGAGUUGCUUGGCUACUGAUUAAGUUUUUUUGGGGGAGGAUAUGCUUACCGGGAGCCUUCUGCUAUGCUUGGUAUUAUAUUUUUCUUCUUUACAAACUGUCAAGAAUUGCUGCAAUGUAAAACCUUGAACAAACUGGCGGUUGCUAUGCAUUUCUUACUUGUCUUUGUAAGCUUGCUACUUAUUUGUCAGCCCUCAAGUUAGUAAUCAUCUAGGAGUGACCACUAAUGUUGGAGUGGGGCUCUUUUGAUAAACAGUGGAAUGUUUCUGAGCGUAACUGUUUGUUUCUUUGUACGCGAAAGAAGCUGUAGUUUUGUGUUCUAUUAACUUCAUGUCGACCGAUGUUAUUUUGUUCUCUCUUGCUUCCUUUCUUGAGUUCUUAUAAAUUGAAGAGGGCUUCUUGAAUGACUUAGUGGAAUACUUGCCAUCUUGUUUUUCUGAACUUUGUUUAUUGUCCUGUGAUUGUCACUAUCUAUAACUAAUGUUCACUGAAAUGCAUCAAAAUCAUGCAUCUAUAUUAAUUUAUGCUCACAUCAGAAAAUUAGGGAUUGCUUUCAUAAUAUCUCAAACUUGUGGGGAGAGUAAAGGAGGGAAACAACUUAAUGUGGAAAAUGGAUUGACCUUUAAUUCUCGUAUUAUUCACCAAACUGUUGAUAUUAAUUCACGUCUAUAUUUGAUAACUUCAUCGUUAAUUUUGGUGCUCUUUUUUAAUAUUGUGAAACUUCCUAUUUGGUUAGAUAUUAGUCUGUGUGGCAUGUUCAUUUACCUUUUGUUUUCACACAAUAUUCUGGUUCAGGGAGCUAAAUUUAAGGGUUAGUAGAAUCCUAUGUUUUCUGGUCGCUCGACCAGCUAGUCGGACUGGGGGAACGACCAGGCGACUAAUCUCAAUUAGUCGUCGACUAGGUCGACUAAUCGAUCUCUGGUCGACCUGGUCGUUUACUAGUCGUCCUGUUCAUCCAGGAGACCAGGACCUAUGUAUAUAGUAUAUACUAUAUAAUAUAUACUAUUAUACUAUAUAGUAUACGUGAGAAUGUCUGCAGUUACAGAAACCCUAGCUACAGUGCGGCUACAGUACUAGUGUUCUAAUGGGCCAGGCCCAUGUACAUAUAUCUGUAAUACCCCCCCGGCAGUCGAAACUCUAGCCACUGCAGAUGUUGAGACUGGACCGAAACUCUGCAAACACCGCGGACGGAAGCCCUUUGGUGAAGACGUCGGCGAACUGGGAGGCGGCCGGGACGUGGAGGACGCGAACAUCUCCACAGGCGACCCUCUCGCGGACAAAGUGAAGAUCGAUCUCGACAUGCUUCGUGCGCUGGUGUUGGACAGGGUUGGUGGAGAGGUAGACGGCGCUGACGUUGUCGCAGAAGACGAGUGUGCUCCGUGCUAGCGGACUGUGGAGCUCUUGGAGCAGCUGACGGAGCCAAGUUGCCUCAGCCACGCCGUUUGCCACGGCGCGGUACUCGGCGCUGGAGCAGGAGACGAUCGGCUGGCGCUUCGAUGACCAGGAGACGAGGCUGUCCCCUAGGAAGACGUCAUAGCCCGAGGUGGACCAAAGCGUGUCUGGACAGCCCGCCCAGUCGGCAUCGGUGUAGACGCGAAGCUCCGUGGUCGGGGAGCGGCGGAGAAGGAGCCCAAAGUCGAUGGUGCCACGCAAGUACCGCAGGACGCGCUUCAGCGCGUUGAGGUGCGGCUCUCGAGGGUCGUGCAUGUGAAGGCACACUUGCUGGACGACGUAAGCGAUAUCGGGCCGAGUGAAGAUGAGGUACUGCAGGGCUCCAGCAAGGCUGCGGUAGCCGGUUGGAUCAGCGACGGGGGGCCUGCGGCAGAGACCUUGCCCUGGGUGUCCACUGGGGUCACGUAGGGCUUGCACUCGGCCAUGCCAACGCGCCCGAGGAGGUCGACGGUGUAUUGUCGUUGGUGAAGGAACAUGCCCUGGGGCCUGCGCUCGACGGUGACCCCUAGGAAGUGGUGGAGGGCCCCGAGGUCCUUCAUCGCAAACUCCUGCUGGAGGCAGGAGACGAUGUGACGCAGGAGCCCAGGGGAGGAGGCGGUGAGCACGAUAUCGUCGACGUAGAGGAGGAGGUACGCAGUGUCCGGACCGUGACGGAGGAUGAAUAGGGACGUGUCCGACUUGGCCUCGACGAAACCCUACGAACACAAGAAAGUGGCGAAGCGACUGUACCAAGCCCGGGGGGCCUGCUUGAGGCCGUAGAGGGACUUGUUGAGCUUGCAGACCAUGUCGGGGUGAGCAGGGUCGACAAACCCAACGGGCUGAGUGCAGUAGACCGUCUCCGUCAGGGUGCCGUGGAGGAAGGCGUUCGCCACGUCGAGUUGGUGGACCGACCAGUCCCUGGACAGAGCCAGAACAGUCCGGAUGGUGGCAGGCUUGACCACCGGACUGAAGGUCUCGUCGUAGUCGACCCCGGGGCGCUGGGUGAAGCCCCGGAGCACAUAGCGGGCUUUGUACCGCUCCAGGGACCCGUCGCCGUUCAACUUCAGCUUGAAGAUCCACUUCUCGGUGACCACGUUGGCGUCGAGGGGAGGGGGCACCAGGUCCCAGACGUGGUUAGCCUGGAGAGCCGCGUACUCCGCUUCCAUGGCACGUCGCCACUGGGGGUCGGCAAGCGCACCACAGACAGUCGUGGGCACCGGCGGAAGAGCCGGAGAAGAGGCCGCGGAGAGAAUCAGGCGAUUAGGUGCCUGGAGGACACCUGCCGCGCGCCGGGUGACCAUCGGGUGGAUGUGUCGAGGAUCUCGGUGGGACAGUCGUGGGCACCGACGGAAGAGCCGGAGAAGAGGCCGCGGAGAGAAUCAGGCGAUCAGGUGCCCGGAGGACACUUGCCGCGCGCCGGGUGACCAUCGGGUGCAUGUGUCGAGGAUCCCGGUGGACGACGACGGGGUGAUAGGCCCGGGGCUCGGCGCGAGAGCGAGCCGGGGCACCACGUCGACCACGGCGCUGGUACGUCUGGAUGGGGUCGGUGUAGCGAGACGACGGGGCAGUGUGCGUUGGUGCGGGAGGCACCGGGGCUGUGCGGGGGACGGCGGGGCCGCGCGAGGCGACGGAGGGGACGUUGGCUGUGCGAGGGAGGUCAGCGCUGGUGGGGCCGCGCAGGGCGACUCAGGAGGCGUCGAGGCCGCACGUGGCUGUGCGGGGGAGGGCGUCACAAGCGGGGCCUCACGAGGCGGAGCAGUGGACGGACCUGCAGGGAAGGGAGGCACGACAGUGGGGGACACAGAGUCGGGGUCGAGGAACACGUCGAGCUCGGUGAGAGAGGCUGCGGGAGAGGACGAAAAGGGGAAAUCCGACUCGUCGAAAACGACGUGACGAGAGAUGAGGACUCUGUGGGAGGUGAGGUCGAGGCAUCGAUACCCCUUAUGGUCGGGGGAGUAUCCGAGGAAGACGCAGCGAGUGGAGCGGGGGGCUAGUUUAUGAGGAGCAGUGGAUGCGAGAUUAGGGUAGCAAGCGCACCCGAAAACGCGAAGAUGGUUAUAUGAGGGGUGGAUGUCGAAAAGAGCGAAGUAAGGAGUGGGGGUGGGCAACCGCCUUGGUGGGAAGACGGUUGAGGAGGUAGGUGGCAGUGGCGAGGGCCUCAGCCCAGUAGUGAGCAGGAAGGGAAGCCUGAAAGAGUAGAGAGCGCACGACAUCGUUUGUCGUGCGAAUCAUACGUUCAGCCCUGCCGUUUUGAGGAGACGUGUAGGGGCAUGACAUGCGGAGGUGGAUGCCGCGAGAGAGGAAGAAGUCACGGGACGCAUUGUUAUAGAACUUGCGCCCGUUGUCACACUGGAUGCUUCGGAUGGUGCGACCAAAUUGAGUAGAGACCCAGGCAAAGAAGUGAGACAGGGUGGGAAAAGUGUCCGACUUCUGACGUAAAGGAAAAGUCCACAAAUAAUGCGAGAAGUCAUCGAGAAUGAGUAAAUAAUACUUAUAGCCAGAAAUGCUGAUUACAGGGGAUGUCCAUACAUCACAGUGUAUCAGAUCAAAAAUGCCUGCUGCUCUAGAGGAGGUGGGGAAUGGGAGCCUAACAUGGCGACCUAACUUACAAGCAUGACAGAGGUGCUCAAUAGAUCCCCUACAACCAGAAACAUAAGUACUACUGGAGAGCUUGGACAUCACAUCACGCCCGGGGUGGCCGAGACGACGAUGCCAAGUCGCAGAAGAGGCGGCCGCUGCAAGAACAUGUGGGGCUGAGGUCGAAGUAGUGGGAGCAGGCAGGCGAAGCGUGUAGAGGGGCUCGGGGCUGUCACACCGAGCGAGAAGAGUCCUGGUGGCAAGAUCCUUCACAGAAAGACCAAACGGGUCAAACUCCAUGGAACAAGAGUUGUCAGUAGUAAAUUGACGUACGAAAAGAAGAUUUUGAAUGAUGUGGGGGGCAACAAGAACGUUGGUUAAGCGGAAAGGACCGGGGAGGACCGCGUCACCUACUGAGGUGACGGGAAGGGCGGACUCGUUUCCGACAAUGAUGGAAGAGGGAAGAGAGGGGUGGGCGGGGGAGGUGGAAGAUAGAAUACCUGCCGAGGCUGGGGAGGAGCCAAGGGUGCCGCCGGGGGUGCAGAGGCAAAGAAGACCUGCUGAGAGGCGGUGGGGCGAGGGGCCGAGGCACCCGCGGACAGCCCGGGCCACAUGUGAAUGGUGCUAGUCCACGGGUUGUAGAAGGAUGGCCACUGAGAGCCACCCGAGGAGCCACCACGGCCUCCCGACAGGCCACCGCCACUGCGUCCGCCCUUGCGACCACAGCCGCGUUCGCGGCUGCGAGCGCCCCCGAAGCCAGUAGUCUGUCGCGGAGCUCCAGAGGGCAGCGGGGCCGGAGUGCGGGGAGCAGGACCCCCCCGGAGUCGGAGGGGGCAGCCCGAGGUGCGCUGUAGAGGGCCGUGGCGGGAGCGGUGGUCGCAGCGGCGGAGAGGCGAAGCUCCUCGAGAAGCAGAUCGUUCUUAGCCUCCGCAAAGGUGGGAAAUGGCUUCAUGCGGGUGAGGAUGGGGGCCACGCGAUCGAAGCGAGGACUCAGACCACAGAGGAGGUUGAGCACGAGGCUCUCAUCGGUCAUGGGGGCCCCGAGGGUGCGGAGAGUGUCCGCCAUCGUCUUCAUCUGACGGUAGUACUCAUCCACAGAGAGAUCGCCCUGAACAAGCUGGCGGAAGGCGGUCUCUAGGUACAGGAUCCGAGUCUGGCGGUUGUCGAGGAACUGAGCCUCAGGGGCACCCCAGAUAUGGUGAGCAGUAUCGUCCGGCACGCGAACGAUGUCCUGAAGUUUGGCCGUGAGGGUGCCAUGGAUCCAAGAGAGCACCACUUCGUCCAUCAGGAGCCAAUCCUCCGUCGGUGCAGCGACCGUGGGGAGGACGUGGUCGGCAAGGGCGUAGCGGCGGAGGGUCUGCAGGACCUGGUCGCGCCACCGAGGAUACUGAGUGGAGUCCGACGUGAGAACGUCGGUGACGGUUGCUCGGAUGCUGGUGAGGGCCGCCGCUUGGGCGUGAAGAGAGGCGCGAAGGGUCAAGGCUGGGACGGGCGCGGGCUCGAAAGUGUCGGCGCUGUGACGAGCGGACAUAGGAGAACCAUCCGAGACACCCUUGCUAGCGAGGCGACGGUAGGUCUCGGCGUACUGGCGCUCGAUGGCGUCGACAACCGCCUGUUCCUGCUCAAGGGCACGAGCGGCGUCCUGGGCCCGCUGGCGAGCCGCCGCAACAGCAGCACGGGUUGCAGCGAGGAUGGUUGCAGCGUCAUCCGAAGGGGAAGGAGCACACAUUGUAGAGGUGAUAGCGGACGGCUGGCUGUAGACCGCCGUGCCAAUGGUGCCACCGGGAAAAACCAGGGGCAACAGCAGGGCGUCGUCGUGGCCGAGCACGGUGGUCUGGGACGCGCGAAGAAGGGAGAUCGACGCGGGACAGGCACCGGCAAAGCCGGACCCGGCCGGACCCGGCAGCGGCGCAGGCGAAGGAAGCGCCGGCGGCGCAGGGGGCGCGGGAGGAGGUGCAGCGGGGUCGGGGGCGGGCAGGCCUGGCGGCAGAGGUGUGGCCGACGCGGGCUGUGCGCCGGCGGGGCCGGAGCCGCUGGAGGGCGGUGGCGGCGCGGGGCUCCCGGCCAUGAGGGCCAGCCCGGCGGGUGGUGGCGCGGCCGACGCGGGCCCGCCGGAUCCGGCGGAGGGAGGCGGCGGCGCGGGAUGUCCGGCCAUGGGGGCCGGCGGCGCGGGGUGCCUGACCAGAGUCGCGCCGCGCUCGGGAGGAGAGGGCGCGGCCAACGCAGCCCUGUAGGAGAGAGGGAGAGGAGGGAAGAGCUCGCCGGAGGAGGGGAGAGAGGGCCGGCCAGCCAUGGGACAGCGGCGGCUGGAACAGUCAAGGCUCUGGUACCAUGUGAGAAUGUCUGCAGUUACAGAAACCCUAGCUACAGUACUAGUGUCCUAAUGGGCCAGGCCCAUGUACAUAUAUCUGUAACAGUAUAUAAUUAUAUAACUAUAUAAUAUAUAUGAAGGAUAGGGUAAACAUGACAUGAAUUCAGCAAUACUGAAAACAGCAAAGAAACAAUUACUAGUUACUAAUACUACCAGUCCCAGAUACCACACAACACCCAUUACCACCCAGUUACCUAAAGAAGAUCUUCAUCCAACUGAAAUUCAUCACCUGCAGCUCCCCUUCCACCUGAUUCUUGUUCGCCUUCAUCUUCAUCAUCAUUCAUUUGUCUUGCUGUCUCUUGUUCUUGUUCAUCUUCAGCAGGAGAAUUGUCAUCUUCUUCACGUAUGUCUUGAGCUGUAGCUGUUGCAUUUCUGGGUCGUUUUCUGGUUCUAACAUAGGUUUGUGUCUGAGUUUGAGAGGAGGAACCAGCAGCAGCAGUCCUAGGCAAAUUUUGACCCCGAAGACCCUGAGUUGCACCUAGAGCUUCAUCCACAACAUCCCAAAUGUUAUCACCAUCAGAUUCUUCUUCAACCCAUUAAUUUUGCCACGUAAACUCUUCAAGCAACAGUGGAUUGCUUCUCUUUCCCUUGGAACCUAGCUCUCUUAUAUUUGUGAACCUAUUAUCCAUCUUCCUGUUGUAGCUUACAUAGGCCAAUUUAUUUAGUCUCUUGUGCUCCAGUCUGUUUCUCUUUUUUGUAUGGAUCUGCACAUGGACAUACCGACAUAGUGACAUACAUUAUUAGUUUAUUACUCAAUCUGAAAUUCUGAACUCUGAACUGAAGUAUGAACAAACAAAAAAACAGUACUUACUGCUGCAAAAUCACUCCAGUUUCUUUCACAACCAGAUGCUGAGCAACAUAGGCUUAUAAUUCUUUUUGCAAGGCUUUGGAGUUCAUAUGCCAAUUGUCCAUAGGCACCCCACCAUAAGACUGUCAUAUAAAUUUGAGAUUGUUAGAUACUUAGGAUGUCUUUGGUUUGACUUUUGGCUUUGACUUUUGCCCGAUAAAAGCCAAAAGCUAAACCAAAGGGCUGGAUCCAGGAAGCAGUUUUUUGUAAAAGCCGACUUCUUCGCAGUGCAAAACUGAAAGCACCCAUAGACAUGCUUUUAGUGGCUUUCGGAUAGAACUGUGAAAACAUAUAUCGAAGAACUUUUAACGGCUUUUAGUGGUUUUCACCAAACAGUUUCUAGCUUUUUAACAGCUCACAGUAGCUUUUUCCAUAGCUCACAGCCCACAAGAACUUUUUUCACAGCCACAGCCACAACCCAACCAAACAGACCCUUAGAUCAGUAGAAACUAGAAAGCACAUUAACAGACAGAACCAAUUAGAAGGAAGGUUUAACACUUACUAGGAUUUUUUUCUCUCUGUCUCUUAUCGCUCUAGGUUUUGAGAAUGCUUCCCCUUCGGACCUCUCGUAGUCAUCUGCUUGAUUACUUAUUUUAGUUUGUUCUUCCUCAUCACUGAUCAUUUUCCACAUCACAUCAUUGAACAUAGAUCUCAGAAUUCCAGCUUGCUUCUUGUCUUUCUCCCUAAUGGAGAAGAAUUUCCCUGGAUUCAAAAACAGUGCAGCCAUAUUCCUUCCAAGCUUGUUCAUGCUUCGACCUCAAUGUUGUUGCCCUAUCGACAACCCUAUCAAGCCAAGGUACCCUAACAUCAUGGUACGAUGGACCACUGUAUCCAGGACCAAAUUGCCCAAUUGACUCCAACAUAACCUCCCAGCUCCUUGAAUUGACGACGUGCAAUGGUAUUUUGUUCUCAUAUAGAAAAUCUGCGACAUGGUCGUUAACAAUUUGCUUGGCUUCCUUUCCUUUCUUUGUGCAAGCUUCAAGAGUUGACUGAGUGGUUUUAUUUUUAUGCCUGUCAGCAACAACUUCUUCUGGCGUCUUGCAAAACAUGGCAGCCACUGACUUGCCGGACUUUUGGGUGGGAUGAGCUGAAACAACAAAAGAGCUAAUGGUGGCUUGAGUUGCUUUCUUCUUCGCUUGCUUGUGUUUUGUCUCUGAACUUGGUUCAUGUACCUUUUGUUCAGGUUCAGUAGCAUCACCAUCUUUCUGUCCUCCUUCCUCACUUUCAACAGAAAGCACAAGCCUUGUGUUCCUUUUCAAAUAAGCAUACAUAUCAUUCGAAACUACUUCUGGAACCAUUGAACAUUUUGUCGUAUCAGAAAAUCCACCGACAAGGUGCUGUUUGAACCUUUUAAUCCUAGAAGGAACAACUUUCAAACAGAAAAUACAUCGGAUAAAGUCUUUCUUGGUAGGAUCUGGCCACCAUCCAAACUUCCAACCAGGAUCUUGUGAUUUGGCCUUUCUCUUUGAAUCAGUUGCGUGUGCAUGAACUUCAGCAGGCAACUUUGCAAUAACCUUCUCAACGAGUGUUGCAGAAUCCACAAAGGCUGAUGAUGUCGAAGCAAGAUCAUUGUUAUCCGCAACAGAAGAUGGAUUGCCGCUGCCCACAACUUGUGAUUCUGGGAAGAGCACCUCAACAUUAUCCUGACGGCGACGACCAAACUCUGUAUGUAAUGUAUCAAAUGAAUAAGGAAUAGGAUGGACAAUGGAGUACAAGUCUACAGGAAUAGCCGAAUAGGAUGAACUGAUGGAGUACAAGAACAAAAAUUCAGAAGUCCAGAAUGACACAACACAUACAAGGAUGAAGAACAGAACUACACUAAAUAAUACCUCCAAAAGAUGAUCUCAUGCCGGUGAAAUAUCCUGGAUUUCUGGAACCGCGCGUGUCUGGAACCGCGCGUGCGUGUCUAGAUGAGAAAUCUAGGUCGGUGAAGUCUGGAACUUGGAACUGGAACCGCGCAGCGCGCACAGAUGAUCGUCGGUCAGCCGGUGUACUGGUGAAGUAUGGAUUCUAGAAUGAGAAGUCUAGGAGCCGGUAGGAAAAUAGAGAAGAGAAGGAAAGGAAAGAGAUUGAGAUGCCAGGAAAGUAGAGCUAACCGUCGGUUUAGUAGAGAGUAGAGACGACGGCACGACGCUGGCGUUCCAUCUCCGUGUAGCCGGGCCGCCCGCCAAAAAAGCCCACAAAAUCAAAAAAUCUGGAUACUAAACCCUAGUCACGCAGAAUCGUCUAAUCGAGCAACUAAUCGACCCUAAUCGUCGACUAGUCGGACGACCAAGGCGAUUAGGUGCUCCGAUCGAGUCGGUUGUGCUAAUCGAGCUCUACUAACCGACUAGCCCGACUAAUCGCGAUUAGUUGGACGACUUGAAAACAGAGGUAGAAUCAUAAGGUUCUUUGGAGGAAUAUGAUGUGAGAUAUUACAUAUUUGGUGGGUUUUAGGACAGGUUCUUUGUGGAAUGGUUGAAGACAAAGCACUAUUGGAAUAUCUACAAAAAUAAGAUCAGAACUAUGGUGUCCCAUUGUGCAUAUGUCUAUAUUAGGGCUUAUUGCAAAUAGAAUGCAUACAUCAUCUUUUGUGAAGAGAAGGUUCCACUAAUUUAAAGAUCUAGUGCGAGCUAUUUGUAAAGGAGAAGGUUCUUGGUAAUCUAUAUAGUGCUCCAAAAAUUAUGGAUACUAUUGUACAUAACUUGUAUAGAUAUGUUGUUGAUCUUGUUAUAAGAACUAAUUAUAUGUUUGGUUUGAGAUCAAAGUAGGAUUAGGCGGUGGCGACACCGUCCCCUCGAUUUGUUGGGAUCACGCCACCAUCAAAAUUACUCCGGUGUUUACCUCGCCCCCACGUGACUCUCAUCCAAACACUAGAAACUAUGGCCGCCCCCUUCCAUCCCUCCUUAUACAUCCAACCAAACACGUAAUAAGUGUCCAGGACGCUAGGAACAUUGGCUCUGUUUGGAACAGCUUAUUAGUUGGCUUCUCAGUCAAAAAAAGCACAAGCCAUCCCAAACACUUGGCUUCUUGCAGGCUUAUUCUAACCUCACCUUCUCUUGUAUAACUACCCAAUCCCAAUACCGUUUAUUAAAAGGGACUCACGAAUGGAGGCAUGGGAGCAUUUCUAGGGAUGCUUCGCCAAUCUCGUCUUGAUGUGUGUCACGUCGAAGCGCGGAAGUGUCGCGACUCGCGACGGCGUGUUGCCAAAAAAGGAAAAAACACCGCACGGUCGAAGCGCGCAGCGUCACGAGCGCGUGCUGCCAAAAAAGGGAAAAACCUACCGCUCUCCUACCACGAAUAGUUCGCAUGCGAGAACUGCGCUCACGCCGUACCCGGAAGAGCAGGGACACCUCCUCUCUACGGGAUUUGGGCGUUGACGUCGGCGGACCGGCGCGGCGGGGGUGUCCCGUCCGCCAUGCCACACUUGCUCUCCGCCACGCCAUGCAUCUAGCCGUCCACCGCUCCACGUGUCGGGUGAGGUAGGGUUUUGCUCAUAGGUACUCCCUUCAGCCAUGGGAUCUGUCGCGCGCCAAAAAUCUGUGGCGGGUCGUACUUUCAUUUCGGACCGCCCCCUCUCAUAGCGCCUGUGCAGGUCUCCGCCACGUGAUGCUGCCCAUCGGCCGGGGCGCGCGGUGGACGCCCCUCGCCAUCCCUCUGCCGCAGUAGUGCGUUGUACUUUGGCCGCUGUGUACCCAUGUCGUCCUCUAGCUGCUGCCCCACGGAUAAGCCCUUGGACCGUGGGUUUCCUCUUCCCUCCCUCCUAGCUCUACAACCUACCUACCAGGGUGGUUGAUUUUCCCUCCUGGAAACCAUCCACUCGCCCCCUUCAAGCGCAAGGUAUUGUACCGUUCUUUCUCAACUCUGAUUUGUGCACCAAACGCUUGCUACUACACUUGUAGAUCUGCUUAUCAAGUGCUACCUAUGCACCGUUGUAGUGUUGCUCCGCUGCGGCCCUGGCGAUGGCGCAGGCAUGCAAGGCUUGUGUUGCUCUUCCCGUGUGCAACGUUUAAAGGUAGGCUGCUUGCUGUGUUGUGGAUCUCAUGUGCGCUUUGUGGUGUGCGUUCUCUUCUUUGUCCAUGCAAGUUUAAAAAAACUGUAAAUAUGGUUUUAUGUUCGCCUGCUAUUGGUUUUGCCUGAUUCUCAGUUGUCCUAGCAGUGUGCCAGUUUUUGCAAAACAGUUUUUGCCGAAUCAUUUAGAAAUUGGACAUGAAAGCAGCAUGGGCAGUCUCUCCUGUUUCUAAUCUGGUAGGUUUACCAGGUAAUCAGGUUUCUGAACUAGAACACUGAUUUAGUUAGCUAUAGAUCUUCUGUUCUAUGGUCGCGCUGUGUUUUUUUAAAUCUUGUCAGCAAAGUAGUAUCGUUGAACUAAAGUAGAGUUUCCUAACUCCUGCUCCAAAUUACAAAUGCAAUUCUGUUAAUGGAAGGUUUUAAUUAAGAUACUCGUUUUCGAAUCAAACUGCUGCUCAGGUCUCCUGUUCGUCAGCUGAAGAUCAUACUUGCUGUGGAGCUUUUGAUCCCUUCAGAGGGACCAAGGAUUGGAGAGCACAUUUUCGGUUACACGGUCAGUACAUAAUCUAUUUAAAGGUUCAUUUGUCUCACUCUCACCAGUAUUUGUAAUCUGUCUAGCUGUCCUGAUUUAUAUUCGUCAAACUGUGCGAACAUAGUUUUUCAUAAAGACAGUGUUUGUAGCGAUUAAUGGUGUUGUCUGAAUGAACUCAUACAUGCAUUUUCUUCGAUCGUACCAGGAAUCGAAUGUUGCUGGUUAGAUUCAUUUAUGUUUUGUUCGUGCUCAUGGUGUCUUGUAGAAUAGAUAGAGUGUAUGCCUGUGUUCUCUUCGGAAAGUGUAUUUUGGUGCAACAACCCCUAUUUUUUGAACUCAGGUUGAUGCUUCUUUUUUUGAAUGUUCGCUACAUAUAAUGAAUAUGGGUUGGGUUUAGAAGGUGCUAGACAGAGACGGGAACACAGUUUGGGGGACAUACUAACCUGAGGGGGUACUAUUACAGAAUUCACAGAGAUAACUAAUAAACCAGUGGCCCUCUUCAUCAUCUUUCUCUUAUGCCUCCUUUGUCGCUUCUUCAUCCGCUGUGUUCUUUUCGGAAAUAAAGGGUUUAUUGCUCUUUCCACAAUUUACUGCUGUCACACAGUCCCAAUUUCCAUGCCAGCCACCUUUGACAUAAACCUUGUGGUUGAAUUUUUAUCCUGUGCAUUUUUUUGGCAUUUGCUCAAUGCAGCUCUUGUCCUCCCAAAAUUCUUUGUACAUUAAUAUUUGGUUGGACAAAAGGUACACUUCUUUUUCCCAAAAAACAAAUCUGUCAUACGUUAAUGUUUUAGGUCGCCUAUUUCAAUAGCUGGUUAUUAUAUUCUCCAUAAAUAGCAAAUUGAAUUCAGCAUCUUAGUCAGUUUGGCGAUAUAUAUAUAUAUAUAUAUAUAUAUAUAUAUAUAUAUAUAUAUAUAUAUAUAUAUAUAUAUAUAUAUAUAUAUAUAUAUAUAUAUAUAUAUAUAUAUAUAUAUAUAUAUAUAUAUAUCAGUUGGAGUAUUUUGUCAAAUAUCUGAAAUCUGAUAUUCUGAUUGUAAACGAUCUUUAGUAGAGUUGCAGUCAUUAGAGUUAGAGUCGAUUGGUAGCCUUGUAAGUUGAUUCUGGUUUGGUUUGUUUCCUGUGACUUAUGACCAAUGUCAAAAGAAUCAUCGAUCUAAUGGGUACAAUAAUCUAGGCACAGAUAAACCAAUGCCAUCUUCUUCGUGCACCCUCCUGCGGUUUGUCUUCGUUUGGACUUGUUGCUCUUUAAUUCUGCCUUUCCAUGUGUACAUAACAUGUGCAAUCUAUUUUGGUUUCUUCCUGACUGUACUAUCUGACCAGAGUCAAAUUCUUCACUUCAGCUUGUGUAUCUGCAUAUGUUUGAUAUAUGCUUGAUCAUGUUUAGGACAUUAGAACUGCAUGCUUGCUUGUCUUGUAUCAUUGUAUACGACCCUUAAAAUUCUGACUGAAAUGGAUGUUCUUUAAUAAAAACAUAAGCUGUCAAAGUUCCUUCGUAAAGAAUGUGUAAUAAACUAAUAAUGUUAUAUUCAGCCAACUGGAAAGGUUGGUUUUCUGCAAGUAUUCAUAUGUAGGGAUUCAUUUGCCCUUUGAACAUUUUUUUUGGAAGCUUUUGCCUGUUGCAACCUCUUGGUCACCCAGUUACUGAAAUCCAUUUUCAAUUUCCCCUCAAGUUUUGUCCUUUAAAAGUUGUGAUAGUAUAGGUAUUCAGUUAUUCAAAAUAGUAUACGUUUCAACGUAACAAAAGCAUAGCAGCCACACAGUGCACAGCACACCUAUAAUUUGUCAACGACCUACUAACCACAACUAGGGUGACAAUGGGCUCUAAAUUUUACACCAUAAGAUUUAAGGAUAUCAGAUUAGGAUUGGGCCCUAUUUCUAUUUAUUUUUGAACUAAAGUUUAUUUAGUACCCUACCAUUUUGUGAAGAAGCAUUUGGAUCGCGACUCAUUACCACAACAUACCAGUCUAUAGUUCGAGUACCGAUUACCAACAACAGCCUGCAUAGCAAUAUACUAUCGUGCUGACAUGUUUUGGGCAUCGACGUGUUUUUGGCAGCGACAUGUUUUGUGGCAUGAUUUGACAACAAUGCUUUGCGUGACCGAAGUGUUCAGUUUUAGACUCAGUUGUGAAAAACAACUGCUCUGUAGAGAAACUGUUUUUAUCUUCUUAUGAAUCAUAGACUAAUGUCCUUCUUUCAACUUUACUUGUCUUACGAUUUGCAUGACGUUAUCAGCUUAGAAAUCAAUGCUUCAUGGUAUAGCAGUCUGUCAUGUAUAUAGUUUAUUUGGUGCUCAGAAUAUCGCAUAUGUAGCCAGUAUAGGUUCAUUAGCGAGCUUCAUCGCUUCAUUGCACGUCGCUUAUUGAAAUGACUCGUUCAAGCUAGCUGCCAUUUUAUUUUCACGAUUCAACCAGCAACAUAGCUGUUUAUUUUCUGGGCAACUUACAUAAAAGCCUUUUUCGCCUUCCUCAGAUCUAGUGAGGACGCCAUCUAGACACAAAAGAAGGGAUCUUUUUCUUUUGUGCUGCUGGAAAAUAUGCAUUUGAUGCUUGUUUAUCUACUUCUAUCUUCAGUCUUGGUUGACGAAGCUCUGUGCUUUUGCGUAUCUUGCGAUAUUGUAUAGGACAUGUUCGCCUGCUUCUAUCUUAUCCUCAGCGGUUAUGCUUGUCUUGUGUAGCUGGAGCAUCUUGUUGAUCUCCAUGGACUUUGAGCCUUUGGUUGUACUAUUGGGACCCUAACAUAUUGUAUUGUAGCUUGCUUUUGACGACAGCCAGCUAGAAUGCCGAGUAGCUGUGAAACAUAAUCGUUCUGUGUAACAUAUGGAUAGACCGAAUUUUCUUGAACCUUGUAUGAAACCUAUGCUACGAUUCUACUCUGGUAUAUGUAAAUGUGUUAGCAGUUAUGUUUUUUUCCCCUUGCAUUUCAUAUUGCUUGUGACAGCAGGUAAAAGCAACGACGUUGUCUGCGUGUCGAAAUAGGUAUGGUGCAGGAAACAUCUCGCUAUUUAAAAUUGAAUAGCAAGGAAAUUUCUUACACAUGGAUCAUCUCGUGAUCUCUGGUCACUAAAUCAGCCCUAAGUUUUUCGUGCGCCUCCUGUUCUGGUAAGACAAAAGCCCACCCUAAGUUUUUCGUGCGCCUCCUGUUCUGGUAAGACAAAAGCCCACCCUAAGGUGCUUCUCUAGCUUUUCACCCCCUGACGGCUCGCGUGGAGCUGCUCAGGCCCUGAUGCGAUGUCACCAAAUGUGGAUUGUGAAGCCGUGCCAUGCUGGCCCUGCUCUGGCAUCCGUCGUCACCAACGAGAUCCAGCCAUGACAGCAAGAAGCAAAUCCGCCAAACUGUCAACUCUUUUUGUGCUAGGCUUCUCUAUUAAACAGUUGUUGUGGGAAGCAUGGAAGAAGCUGACUUUUCGAUUAAGGGUGUGUUUGGUUUGACUUUUGGCUUUGGCUUUUACCCCCUAAAAACCAAAAGCCAACCAAAGGGAUGGAUCCAGGAAGCAGCUUUUUCUAAAAGCCGACUUUCUCGUAGUGCAAAUCUGAAAGCACCCCUGGACCUGCUUUUAGUGGCUUUUCGGAUGGAACUGUGAAAAUAUAUAUCGAAGAAUUUUUAACGACUUUUAGUGGCUUCCACCAAACGAUUUUUAGCUUUUUAACAGCUUACAGCCUACAACAGCUUUUUCCACAGCUCACAGCCCACAGCAACUUUUUUCACAGCCCAACCAAACAGACCCUAAGCGCUGCUGGAAGAAGCGGUUCCAAAUGCGACCAUUGUCAUGUGACCCACAAAAGACAACAAUGUAUGCCAGUUAGGUGAUGGCUUAGCACACAGGUCUCAUGCAACCGGUAACUAGGAAGUGUUGUACCUAAGGGUGUGCCAACAUGUUAACAAAAUAGAAAUCAUUUGGUAUCAUGUGUGCAUGCAUGGUGUAAUCUUGCAACAUUUAUUUUUAAUGUUGUGGAGCCAUGACAUAUGCUACUAUUAGCUUUAUAUGUAACAUUUCUUGGGAACUCUUGUUCCAUUUCAUCACACCUAUGGCGCAGUCUUUACUAACGCCCCAGC